rnacentral:RNase_P_RNA from 1 species
GCGGAAGGCUGGAUGGUCGCGGGAUUGGCAACAAUCGCGAGGAAAGUCCGGACUCCACAAAGCAAUGGUGCCGGGUAACGCCCGGCGGGGGUAACCCUAGGGAAAGUGCAACAGAAAGGAAACCGCCUCACGCAUGCGUGAGGUAAGGGUGAAACGGUGCGGUAAGAGCGCACCAGGUCUCGGUGUGAACCGAGAUGCUGGAAAACCCCACCUGGAGCAAGGCCAAAUAGGGGACGAUGAGAUGCCCGUUUCAUUUGAGUCCCGGGUAGGCUGCUUGAGACUGUCAGUAAUGGCAGUCCUAGAUAAAUGGCCCUCCUGCUGCUUUGGUAGCAGACAGAACUCGGCUUAUUAACGCGUGUCU